rnacentral:lncRNA from 1 species
CAAAUUGCUACCCUCUCUCUAUAUAUAUUUCAGAAAAUAUUAUAAAAUUUUAAUUUAUAAAAGAAUAGAAACCCCUCUAUAUCUUCAAAAUUCAGCCCAUUACAAAAUUCUGCAAACCUUACUCUCCAGUCUCCACAGACCACAAAACUCACGCUCACGCAUGGGCACGGCUCCAUAGACCACACUCCACGCCUCGUAGCCUCCGGAACGUACGUAGCCGGCCGACUUCUAAGGUAACUGAAUCUUUUUUCCUUGUUUCAUUAUGGUUUUUAGUUUCUGUUCUAGACUUCUUGGAUUGUUCAAAAUUUGAAUUUUAAAGUUGUUUUAUUUCCUAUUGCACUUCUACUUGAUUUCGGGUUUUAGUUCCUGUUCUAGGAUUAUUCAAAAAAAAUGUUGUUUUUGUGGAGCUAGGCAGUUUAAAAAAUUAAGGUAAAGCUUUCUGUUGUUGUAAUGAAUUUGUGCAGUUAAAAAAUGGUGAGAUUCCUCAAGAAUUGUCUCGUCAAUUUUUUAUUUCUUGACACAUUAAUUUGUUUUUUGCAGGUUUGAGUCAGAAUUUGUCAUCUUUGGAGGAUAGUCCUUGAAAGGAAUAGUUUGCUGUUUGCUUGAAUUUUGAGUUUAUUCCUUUAAGAUUUACAAUACAUGCUUUCAGUUUCUUUGGCAUCUUGUUUAGCUUUUUGAGUUUGCCAUUUUAUAUUUAGCCCUUGUUUAAUGCCUAUUACCUGAAAAUGAAAAUGGGGGGAAUAAUAUUUUUUAAAAAAAUGAGUGGUUGAAAAGGAAGAAAAGGUUUUCGAUUUAUGUGUAAUAUUAUUUUAUGAAAGAUUGUGUGGUUGAAAAUAGGAGAGAGAAAAAUAAAAUGUAAUGUAAUUUAAUUUAAUGAGGAUGAAACAGGACUUUCUGUUUGAGACUUUUGUGUGUGUCAAUUUCUGACAAAACUGUUUACCUAGAUCAAUAAGUAGAUGUAGAACCUGCAAUUACGGUAGUUUCUAGUCGUUGUUCAUUAUGGUUAAUGCUGUGAAAGUCAGUUUUCUCUACCUUUUGUCACUAUGAAGAAGAAAGCUGUUGGCAUCUGUAAUUUUACUGCGUUUUACAAGUUUGGGAGGAUGAAGUAUGGAAUGUUUGCUUCAUGUGCUAUACUGCUUUUAGAGAGAUAAUUAUUAAAAUAAAAAUCAUACAUAUAUAUUUUUUAAUAUUUUAAUUCAAAUUAGCUACGGAAAUAGCAACGAAAAUCCAUUGGUAAUCAUCAAUAGACAGAAUUUGUAGGUAAUUUGCGACGAAAAAAUUUGUUGCUAAUUAGUGACAGAAAUAGUUGUUAGUAAACACCAACGACUUUUUUUGUCACUAAAUCACCGAUGACCUAGGUAAUUCAUUGCUAAAAUUAGCGGCGGGGGUAUUACCCACGAAUUUUCCAACUGAUCAAUUCCGUUUGUAAAAAUCGUUAGCGACGAAAUUUAAGGCAUCAGCGAUGAAAUUCUGUCUCUGAAGUUGUAUUUUUUUGUAGUGGUGAUCGAAAACCUAACAAUAUACCGCUAAAGCAAAAACAACAUAAAAAUGGAGGUUAAAAUGUCAAAAAAUCAUGGCUAUGAACUCAAAAACUUACUUGAAAUCCAAAAGGGAUUUCAAGAUCAGAACAAAUGAACACCUUAACUAAUAGAGUUCAUGAUGCUACUUCAUCCAACCACUCCGUAAGUCUUUCGAACCUUAAGUUUGAAGGUCUGAGAGUAUUAGAAUGAUCUAGGACUUUCUUCUAUACAAUCUACAAAGAGAACUAGAAUUAGGUUCAAAGAAAAAGCAAUCGAUGUUUUUUAAAGAGAAAGAGAUGAAAUUUGGAAAGAAUUUUUUUGGAGAGAAUCAAUCUUGGAAAGGAAGAUGAAUGGGUCGAGAGAAGAGUGAGUUGUAGGGUUUUGUUUUGUGGUGAAGAGAUAAAGACGUGUUUCAUUUAGGAGAGAUGUGCAUUGUAGAAAAACCAUGUAGUAGAUCAGUUAAGUGUGAAAAGGCAUGUAACAUAAAUGAACAGUGAAUCUCCAUACCCUAUCUUUUAAGAGAGAAGAGAAAGAGAUAUAAAUCCAUUGUACUCUCAUAUUUGCCAUAAUUUUUACGUGAC